GCCUGAUGCAGCGACGCCGCGUGCGGGAUGACGGCCUUCGGGUUGUAAACCGCUUUUGACAGGGACGAAGCGCAAGUGACUGUACCUGUAGAAUAAGGACCGGCCAACUACGUGCCAGCAGCCGCGGUAAUACGUAGGGUCCGAGCGUUGUCCGGAAUUACUGGGCGUAAAGAGCUUGUAGGCGGUUCGUCGCGUCGUUUGUGAAAACUUGGGGCUCAACCUUAAGCUUGCAGGCGAUACGGGCGGACUAGAGUACUUCAGGGGAGACUGGAAUUCCUGGUGUAGCGGUGAAAUGCGCAGAUAUCAGGAGGAACACCGGUGGCGAAGGCGGGUCUCUGGGAAGUAACUGACGCUGAGAAGCGAAAGCAUGGGUAGCAAACAGGAUUAGAUACCCUGGUAGUCCAUGCCGUAAACGGUGGGUACUAGGUGUGGGGCUCCUUCCACGGACUCCGUGCCGUAGCUAACGCAUUAAGUACCCCGCCUGGGGAGUACGGCCGCAAGGCUAAAACUCAAAGAAAUUGACGGGGGCCCGCACAAGCGGCGGAGCAUGUGGAUUAAUUCGAUGCAACGCGAAGAACCUUACCUGGGUUUGACAUACACCGGAAACCUGCAGAGAUGUAGGCCCCCUUGU
rnacentral:rRNA from 1 species